UGUUCUUUGUCUGGAUGAUGUGGAGGGUAAAGAUGCUGACUCACUAGCCAUGGUCUGCUGAAUAAUUAUUCCAUUGGUGUUGUGCAUUGUUCCUUUACCUGAAAGUGUCUCCUCUCCAAAGUCAUUAUUAUCCCAGACAAGUGUGGCAGGUAAUUCAACCCUGAUGUUUUCUGAGAUGUAUAUAUCUCCUCUCUCCACUUGUAGGUGAGCAAGGGCUGUAUCAUGCUCAAGAACCUGGGAGUUAGAUGAGCAGUGGCCAAGACCAUUCAACAACCCUAUGAGCUGUGCUGAGCCUGUCAUAUGCCGAACUGCCAUUGCAAGAGAGCACUGUUUUGGCAUGAGCCACCGUCCUUUGGUCGCCAAGAUGAGGAGGAAGAGGAGGAAGUGGCAACUUCAUGAAUGAUCUCCUCAGCUGUCAGAUCAUCAACAUACACAAGAUAUGUUGUAGAUGCCUUUUGAAAUCUCAAGAAAGGAUGUGACUUUUGAAGUCUUGCCUUGAGUACCGUGUGUAGUCUCUGAAACAGGAGAAGUGGUAUCGUGCCUCACUAGCCACUAGGUCCCUGUCACGAAUGUGUAGAAGCAGACUCUCAUCCUGUCUUUCUUCAGCAGCAAGAAGUAACUUCCCUGCAUGUUCACUGCAGCUAGAUGGGCAAAUGACUCCCUCC